CCUGAACGCUGGCGGCGUGGCUAAGACAUGCAAGUCGCACGGGGCCCGCAAGGGUCCAGUGGCGGACGGGUGAGUAAUGAAUCGCUAAUGUACCCCGAUGUCUGGGAUAGCUGCCCGAAAGGGCAGGUAAUACCAGAUGAGACCACAGGCAGGCAUCUGCCGGUGCUCAAAGGGUCACCGCAUUGGGAGCAGGCGAUUUCGUAUCAGCUAGUUGGGAGGUAACGGCUCACCAAGGCGACGACGCGUAGCCGGGCUGAGAGGUCGGCCGGCCACAUUGGGACUGAGACACUGCCCAGACUCCUACGGGAGGCAGCAGUGGGGAAUAUUGGACAAUGGGCGAAAGCCUGAUCCAGCAAUGCCGCGUGUGUGAAGAAGGCCUGCGGGUUGUAAAGCACUUUCAGUGGGGAAGAAAGACGCAGCGCUAACAUCGCUGCGUCUUG
rnacentral:rRNA from 1 species